rnacentral:rRNA from 1 species
ACGCUCGACACCUACUGGAGGCAGCAGUGAGGAAUAUUGGUCAAUGGGCGCUAGCCUGAACCAGCCAAGUAGCGUGAAGGAUGAAGGCUCUAUGGGUCGUAAACUUCUUUUAUAUAAGAAUAAAGUGCAGUAUGUAUACUGUUUUGUAUGUAUUAUAUGAAUAAGGAUCGGCUAACUCCGUGCCAGCAAGCCGCGGUAAUCUGAGCGGGCUGGCAAGGC